rnacentral:rRNA from 1 species
ACACGACGCGCUGGUGGAUGCCUUUGCGCGAAGCCAGACGUCGGUUUUCGGGACCCGGACGAGGCUCGAGGACCCAAGCCGGCGCGAGUCGAUGCCACGGACCGCCACCCUGUGUGUGGGGCUACCCGCUGAGUUUAAGCAUAUAAAUAAGCGGAGGAGAAGAAACUUACGAGGAUUCCUUUAGUAACGGCGAGCUUAACCCGGAUCAGCCCAGCUUUGAGAAUCCCAAGGCCGCCGUCGUCCGAAUCAGAAGUCCGGAGAAGCGCCCUCGCCGACGGACCGCCCAAGUCCCCGGAAAGGGGCGCCGGGAGGGUGAGAGCCCCGUCCCCGCCGGACCCCGCCGCACCACGCAGGCGCCGUCAACGAAGUCGGGUUGUUUGGGAAUGCAGCCCCACCCGGGCGGUAAAUUCGGCCCAAGGCUAAAUAUGGGCGAGACCGAUAGCAUGUAACAAGUACCGCGAGGGAAAGAUGAAAAGGACUUUGAAAAGAGAGUCAAAGAGUGCUUGAAAUUGCCGGAGGGAAGCGGAUGGGGCCGGCGAUGCACCUCGGCCGGAUGCGAACGGUGGUCGGCCGGUCCGCCGCCGCUCGGGUGCGGAUCGAUGGGGCCGCGCCGACGGGCCGGGCCCGGACGGAUCGUUUCGUCUGAGGGGAUACCGCCGACGCCGGGAAAGGAAACGACGACAUCGCCAUCGGCGCGUUCUCGCUGGGUACACGCCACGACUGGCAUCGCCGCCGGGUUUCCCAUCCCAACCCGCCUUUGAAACACGGACCAAGGAGUCGGACAUGCGCGGCGAAGUCGAUGGGUGCGAAACCCGGAAGGCACAAGGAAGUCGACGGGCGGGAACCUCUGGGUUGACCGCACGACCUCGAUCUUUUCGUGGAAGGGUUCGAGUUGAGCAUGCAUGUCGGGACCAAAGAUGGUGAACUAUGCCCGAAGGAGGCGAAGCCGAGGAAACUUCUGGUGGAGGCCCGGCGAUACCGACGCGGCAAAUCGCUCGUCUGACUUGGGUAUAGGGGCGAAGACUAAUCGAACCAUCUAGUAGUCGGUUCCCUCCAAGUUUCCCUCAGAUAGCCGGAGCCCACACGCCGAAGUUCUAUCGGGUAAAGCCAAUGAUUAGAGGCAUCGGGGCGAACGCCUCGACCUAUUCUCAAACUUUAAAUAGGUAGGACUGCGCUGCCGCUGCUGAGCCGCCGCUGAAUCGAGAGCUCCGCGGGCCAUUUUGGUAAGCGAAUCGGCGAUGCGCGGGAUGAACCGAAGCCGGGUUACGGCGCUCAAUCAAGGCUAACCCGCACACCACAAAGGGUGUUGGUCGAUUAAGACGCCAGAUUCGUGGUCAUGGAAGUUUAAACCGCUAAGGAGUGUGUAACAACUCACCCGCCAAUCAACCAGCCCGAAAAUGGAUGGCGCCAAGCCGCCGCGACCACACCCCGCCAUCGGGCGCAGCCAAGCCCCGAUGAGGAGGCAAGGCGUCGCCGCGAAACCCGUAUGAAAGCCCAAGCGAGCACUGGCCGGUGCAGAUCUUGGUGGUAGUAGCAAAUAUUCAAAUGAGAACUUUGAAGGUCAAGAGGGGAAAGGUUCCAUGUGAACGGCACUUGCACAUGGGUUAGCCGAUCCUAAGGGACGGGGAAGCCCGUCCGAGAGCCGCUCGCCGCGAGUCCGGAAGGGAAUCGGUUAAAACCCCGAGCCGACGACGCGCGCGACGGCAACGUUAGGGAAGUCCGGAGACGCCGCGGGGCCCCGGAAGAGUUAUUUUUUCGCUUAACGCCCGCCCACUCGAAACGCCACGGAGGUAGGGUCCAAUGGUCGAAGAGCGCGCACGCAUGGCUGGCGGCGCGCCCGGGCUGCCCUUUGAAAACCGGAGGACCCGAGUGCCGCCCGCCUCGGCCUGCAUUUCAUAACCGCGAUCGUUCCAAGGUGAACAGCCUCCGCCCAUGGAACAAUGUAGGCAAGGGAAGUCGGCAAAACGGAUCCAGAAUCUCGGGAAAAGGAUUGGCUCGAGGGUCGGGCACGGGUCCCCGCCUCAACCCGCCGGCCGUUUGCGGAUCGCUGAGCCGCUUUCGGGCGAGAGCGGUCGUCGCCGCGGUCGGCCGGGGACGGACGGAACGCCCUCGGGCCUUUCCCCGCGCCGAACAACCGACCACUCGAAUCGGUAACGACAAGGGGAAUCCGACCGCUUAAUUAAAACAAAGCAUUGCGAUGGUCCCGCGAUGCUCACGCGAAUGUGAUUUCGCCCUGCUCAAUGUCAAAGUGAAGAAAUUCAACCAAGCGCUGGUAAACGGCGGGAGUAACUAUGACUUCUUUAGUAGCCAAAUGCCUCGCCAUCUAAUUAGUGACGCGCGAUGAAUGGAUUAACGAGAUUCCCAUCGCCCCUCGCUUACUAUCCAACAAACCACGCCCAAGGAACGGGCUCAUGUAAUCGGGCCGGGGAAAGAAGACCGCUGAGCUUGACUCUAGUCCCACUUUGUGAAAUGACUUGAGAGGUGUAGGAUAAGUGGGAGCCGUUCGUCACGGCGGAAGUGAAAUACCACUACUUUUAACGUUAUUUUACUUAUUCCGCGAGUCGGAGGCGGGCCCGCCCUCCUUUUUUUUGACUCCGCGCCCGCCAAGGGCCGAUCCGCGGAAGACAUUGUCGUGGGAGUUUGGUCAAGCGCACAUCUGUUAAAAGAUAACCAGGUGUCCUAAGAUGAGCUCAACGAGAACGAAAUCUCGCGGUGGAACAAAAGGGUAAAAGCUCGCUUGAUUUCGAUUUCCAAGACGAAUACGUAACCGGAAAGCGCGGCCUAUCGAUCCUUUAGACCUUCGGAAUUUGAAGCUAGAGGUGUUUAAAAAGUUACCAUUGUGGAUAACGCUCAGGCAGCCAAGCCGCUCAUAGCGACGCUUUUUUUGAUCCUUCGAUGUCGCUUUUCCUAUCAUUGUGAAGCGUAAUUCACCAAGUGUUGGAUUGUUCACCCACCAAUAGGGAACGAGAGUCGGGUUUAGACCGUCGCGAGAGACGUUAGUUUUACCCUACCGAUGAUCGUCGCCGAUAGUAAUUCAACCUAGUACGAGAGGAACCGCUGAUUCACACAAUUGGUCAUCGCGCUUUGGUUGAAAAAAGCCGGGCGCUGGUUACCGCGGUGUCGGAUUAUGACCGAACGCCUAAGUCGAAUCCUAGCUAGCAACCGGCGCUCGCAUUCGUCGCUCAGCCCCGACCACAAGAGGGGCCUUCGCCCCACGGGCUCGGUCGCCGGUAGCCCCCGGUGGUGGUACGGCCACGGUGGCUAUCGGAAGUACACCGCGACGACGACGGGUCAAUCCUUUGCGCACGACUUAAAUACGCUGAUGGG